GUGCUCUCUUCGGCAGCACAUAUACUAAAAUUGGAAGGAUACAGAGAAGAUUAGUAUGGCCCCUGCACAAGGAUGACAUGCAAAUUCGUGAAGCGUUCCAUAUUUAA
ensembl:snRNA U6 U6 spliceosomal RNA